AGCUCAUGACUGGGUUUAAAGUGUGCGUAGGUGGGUUUGUAAGUCAGUGGUGAAAUCUCCGAGCUUAACUCGGAAACUGCCAUUGAUACUAUAGAUCUUGAAUUAUCUGGAGGUAAGCGGAAUAUGUCAUGUAGCGGUGAAAUGCUUAGAUAUGACAUAGAACACCAAUUGCGAAGGCAGCUUACUACGGAUACAUUGACACUGAGGCACGAAAGCGUGGGGAUCAAACAGGAUUAGAUACCCUGGUAGUCCACGCCCUAAACGAUGGAUACUCGACAUCAGCGAUACACUGUUGGUGUCUGAGCGAAAGCAUUAAGUAUCCCACCUGGGAAGUACGACCGCAAGGUUGAAACUUAAAGGAAUUGACGG
rnacentral:rRNA from 1 species